UGUAUGUCAGACUUCCAAGAAAAGCUCGCAAUGUCACAAAUAAAGAAUGCCUGUACCAUAACCGACACAGGUGGGUAGGUAGAGUAUACUAAGGGGCGCGAGAUAACUCUCUCUAAGGAACUCGGCAAAAUGACUCCGUAACUUCGGGAGAAGGAGUGCCUUAUUUAUAAGGUUGCAAUAACAAGAUCCAAGCAACUGUUUAUCAAAAACACAGGUCUCCGCUAAGUCGUAAGACGAUGUAUGGGGGCUGACGCCUGCCCAGUGCCAGAAGGUUAAAGAAGUUGGUUAGUGUAUGCGAAGCUGAUGACUGAAGCCCUGGUGAACGGCGGCCGUAACUAUAACGGUCCUAAGGUAGCGAAAUUCCUUGUCGGGUAAGUUCCGACCCGCACGAAAGGCGUAAUGAUUUGGAUACUGUCUCGGAGAGAGGCUCGGUGAUAUAGACUUGUCUGUGAAGAUGCGGACUACCUGCACCAGGACAGAAAGACCCUAUGAAGCUUUACUGUAACUUGAAAUUGGAAUUGGACUUUGCUUGCGCAGUAUAGGUGGGAAGCGUUGAAAAUAUUCUUGCGGGAGUAUUGGAGCUAUCAGUGAGAUACCACUCUUGUAAUGUUAGAUUUCUAACUUUGAACCAUAAUCUGGUCAAAGAACAGUUUCAGGUGGGCAGUUUGACUGGGGCGGUCGCCUCCCAAAUGGUAACGGAGGCGUACAAAGGUUUCCUCUGAACGGAUAGAAAUCGUAUCUAGAGUGUAAAGGCAUAAGGAAGCUUGACUGUGAGACCUACAAGUCGAGCAGGGACGAAAGUCGGUCUUAGUGAUCUGACGGUACUGAGUGGAAAGGCCGUCACUCAACGGAUAAAAGUUACUCUAGGAUAACAGGCUGAUCUCCCCCAAGAGUUCACAUCGACGGGGAGGUUUGGCACCUCGAUGUCGGCUCAUCGCAUCCUGGGGCGGUAGUACGUCCCAAGGGUUGGGCUGUUCGCCCAUGAAAGCGGUACGCGAGCUGGGUUCAGAACGUCGUGAGACAGUUCGGUCCAUAUCCGGUGUAGGCGCUAGAAUAUUGAGAGGAGCCUUCUUUAGUACGAGAGGACCGAGAAGGACACACCGCUGGUGUACCAGUUAUCGUGCCAACGGUAAACGCUGGGUAGCUAUGUGUGGAGUGGAUAACCGCUGAAAGCAUCUAAGUGGGAAGCCCACCUCGAGAUGAGUAUUCUCAC
rnacentral:rRNA from 1 species